rnacentral:lncRNA from 1 species
CAUCUAAAAAAAAUAAAACAUUACCCGAACCAAUUUCAUGUUGUAGAGAGUUCAUGAUUAUUGAUUUCCACUCAAAAUAUACAGCGGCAUCCUCAUUAAUAUAUUUUUUCGCCUUUUCCGUUUUCCGUGAGGUAGGCGAAGUAAAUUUUGCCUCAUAAUUCCUAUUUUGCAUUUCUUGGUUAAUGUUCGAAAUAAAAAAUUCGAAAGUUUGAAUUUUUUUAUCACGAUAUUUUCAGCUUUCAAGAAAAAAAAAUUCAAGAGUUUUUGUUUCUCUUCGGCUUUCUUCUUAUGAUCCUGCACGAACACCUUAAAUAAUUAAGAUUCAAAAACCUUAAAAACAAAAUUGUUUUUCAUUGUUCAAUGUAUAAAAAAAAGAGCCAAUUACCAUUUUGUUUGUCUUCUCGAAAUUGUAAAAUGUAAGAAGAGUAGUACAGCACCAAGCAAAACUUUGAAAAAAAAUCCUUGUUUGUCUUCUUGAAAUUGUAAAGUGCAAGAAGAGUAGAACGCAACUUCACACUACAGUGCCUCCAAGCAAAACUUUCAGAAAAAAUCCUGAAACAAAUAUUUAUUUACAUAAGAGAUAUAUUUUACCACUUUGCAAAGAUUUUGAAUAUAAUAACAACUAUUAGGCACAACAUGAAACUCAUAGUAUAUUUUAUUGAGACAGAUCUUAACUCAGGAUAGAAUAAGGAAGGAGAAGACAGGAAAGAGCUCGGAGGCAGAACUAACGCAAAAAAAGUAAAGUGGCCUAGCCGAAACCUUAGAUUGUUUAAGUGUAAUUAGCAUUGGUUCUGUAACAUUUUCAAUUCAACUCGAUAUUUUUCUAACCUUAGUAGCAGGUCUUGUCAGUUCCAGAAGUCCAAUAAGAAGUAGGUGAAAUCUAUUAGUGAGAUUUCUCUAUGAUUGAAACAUACCCUUAGACCAGUGUUUCACACCAUGUGUUCAUUUGUUAACUAGUUUUCUAUGUAGAUCUUAGGACAUGUGGUAAAUUAAUGAAUACAUCGAAAGUUAAUUGGGACCUAGAGAAUUCUGCUGCAACAACAGUGAAAUAGGUUUUCAAGCUUAUCUCUGAAUGUACCAUUAUCACAAGGCAAGUAAGGUGAAUUGUUUAAGAACUAUGGAACU